UCGCAGGCUGCAACCCGCCUGCGUGAAGUUGGAAUCGCUAGUAAUCGCGGAUCAGCAUGCCGCGGUGAAUACGUUCCCGGGCCUUGUACACACCGCCCGUCACACCAUGAGAGUCGGGAACACCCGAAGUCCGUAGCCUAACCGCAAGGGGGGCGCGGCCGAAGGUGGGUUCGAUAAUUGGGGUGAAGUCGUAACAAGGUAUC
rnacentral:rRNA from 1 species